AGUGAACGCUGGCGGCAGGCCUAACACAUGCAAGUCGAACGGCAGCACAAGAGAGCUUGCUCUCUGGGUGGCGAGUGGCGGACGGGUGGGGAAUGCAUCGGAAUCUGCCCAUUUGUGGGGGAUAACCUCGGGAAACCGGGACUAAUACCGCAUACGACCUACGGGUGAAAGCAGGGGAUCUUCGGACCUUGCGCAGAUGGAUGAGCCGAUGCCGGAUUAGCUAGUUGGAGGGGUAAAGGCCCACCAAGGCGACGAUCCGUAGCUGGUCUGAGAGGAUGAUCAGCCACGCUGGGACUGAGACACGGCCCAGACUCCUACGGGAGGCAGCAGUGGGGAAUAUUGGACAAUGGGCGCAAGCCUGAUCCAGCCAUGCCGCGUGUGUGAAGAAGGCCUUCGGGUUGUAAAGCACUUUUGUUGGGAAAGAAAAGCAGCCGGUUAAUACCCGGUUGUCAUGACGGUACCCAAAGAAUAAGCACCGGCUAACUUCGUG
rnacentral:rRNA from 1 species